rnacentral:lncRNA from 10 species
CUGCUCCUGACUCUACACGUAGCUGAUAAUGAGAAGGGAAGAUGGGGCUCCCGUUUUGAACAUGAUUGGCACAACUGCCAGCAUCUAUGUCUGCAGCUCGAUUUUAUAGGCUGCUCAUUGUUAGAAAGGAAAAUGAUUUGGAGCUACUUUUCAUUAAAAGGAAAACCUUACUGAGGACUGCUGUACCCUCACUAUCUGCUUAAGUAAUUUCUUCUUUUUUUUUUUUUUUUUGAGACGGAGUCUCCAUGUUAGAGUGCGGUAGCACGAUCUCGGCUCACUGCAACCUCUGCCUCCCGGAUUCAAGAGAUUCUCCUGCCUCAGCCUCCGGAGUAGCUGGGACUACAGGCGCGUACCAACACACCCAGCUAAUUUUUGUAUUUUUAGUAGAGAUGGUGUUCCACCACGCUGGCCAGGAUGGUCUUGAUCCUUGACCUCCUGAUCUGCCUGCCUCGGCAUCUCAAAGUGCUGGGAUUACAGGCGUGAGCCACUGCACCCGGCCAGUAAUUUCUUCUUAACUCCUGUAUCAACAUAUGAUAAAAUAGAGCAUUUUAAAAACAAGUUUUUGAAAAGAUUAAGAAUUUAUAAAAAGCUCUAAGAAGGAAACUUCAAAUACGGAUCUCAAUCACAAGCAAGGGUAAUGAGGACCCAGUGACCAUGAAGAGGCUCCAGAACUUCAUGACCUUCUGUUAUGAAAAGUUACUUAUAGUACUAUCUGUGCUCAACAGAAAAGUGCCUACUGAAGAUUUCAUCUGGAUUUGCACAACACCAUGACUUAAAGAUUAUCCUAUGUGCCAGAUAGCUGUGUAUUCACAGUCAUCUAUUUUCUCGUGCUCCUGGGCUCGCAGAGAGACAUUGCUCGCCCUUAAGUGUUGUUAUAUAACUGAGGUCUAGUAAAUGGAAUGCAAAAGAGUUAUAUGCCACUUUCAGUCUAGUCCAAGCCUGUCCAACCCAUAGCCUGCAUGUGGGCUGCAUGUGGCCCAGGACAGCUUUGAAUGUGGCCAAACACAAAUUCGUGAACUCUCUGGAAACAUUAUGAGAUUUUUUUUUUUUUGCAAUUUUUUUUUCUUUUUCAGCUCAUCAACUAUCGUUAGUGUAUUUUAUGUUUUGUCCAAGACAAUUUUUCUUCUACCAGUGUGGCCUAGGGAAGCUAAAAGACUGGACACCCUGGUCUAGCCCAUAAGGGCAACUGCAUGAUCUUCUCUGCUCUCUCUCUUCCUCUGUCAGUCCUCUAAUGUCAAAGAAUUCAGCCAAGGACUGGGAGUUCUGAGGAGAUGGUGGGACUACAGAACAUAAACAGCCCCUCUUCCUCUCACUCAUUGGACUUCAUGUGAGCAAGAAAUAAACUUUUAUCGUGUUAAUCUACUUAUACUUCGAGGUUGUCCCUAAACGAAUGCAGAAUGAUCAAAAGUAUCAGGUUACAGAUGAUAGUUUUAAAGGCUGAAACAGAACCAGAGAUUGUCGAAACCAGGCAUUUACCUGACAGAUCUGCGUGCAACCCGUGCAGCACAUCACCACCUUCCUGCAAUACACAACAAGCAGGAAGGAGAGUCAUGCCCUCUCCACCAUCUGUCCAGGACUUUAGGAUCAACAUCUCUUCAGGCUGAGCUCUCCAAACUUAAAAAAGACACAUGCCUCUUAAUAAAAAUAAUCUAAAAUCUGUUUUACAGAUGAAAAACUGGAGGCUUGGAGAGUUCAAAUGAUUUGUCCAAGAUCACUGAUUUACUUAAUCAUUAAAUCAGGACUAUAGACAAAGUCCCCUAACUUGUAGUCCUGGUGAUUCAUAUUUACAGGGCAUUAAAAGCAGCUCUGUUCUGAAGUACAUUGGGAUAAUUAUCAGGUAUAAAGUUCUGGAUUGUAGGCAAGUGAGUAUCUGUGGCAGAUUAAAAAUGAGUAAGUCCUAUUGGCUUCUACUCUCCAAGAUUUUCCCUCUCCUUUUCUCCUCUCUAUUCACCCUAUAGUGCAUUUCUCUUCUCAGUGACAGUAUUAGUGAAAAUCCUUAGGAUUUCAUCAAUUUACUUUUUCCUUCAGUGACAUCCCAGAAUGUUCUAUUUUUUUCUUUGUUUUAAAUAAAUUUGUCAUUUUUUAUUGUUGUUUAUUUAAUUUGCACUUGGGAGCAGGAAGUGUUGCCAUCCAGUUUUGCUUUACCAACUUUAAAAAGACUUUUGCAAACCCCCUUAGAACUACUAUGAUCAAUGAACAGAUAUGGAAGAAAAUAAUGAAGAUAAUAAAGUGAUUCAAAACUUUGACAG